AGUGAACGCUGGCGGUAGGCCUAACACAUGCAAGUCGAACGGCAGCACAGAGGAGCUUGCUCCUUGGGUGGCGAGUGGCGGACGGGUGAGGAAUACAUCGGAAUCUACUCUGUCGUGGGGGAGAACGUAGGGAAACUUACGAUAAUACCGCAUACGACCUACGGGUGAAAGCAGGGGAUCUUCGGACCUUGCGCGAUUGAAUGAGCCGAUGUCGGAUUAGCUAGUUGGCGGGGUAAAGGCCCACCAAGGCGACGAUCCGUAGCUGGUCUGAGAGGAUGAUCAGCCACACUGGAACCGAGACACGGUCCAGACUCCUACGGGAGGCAGCAGUGGGGAAUAUUGGACAAUGGGCGCAAGCCUGAUCCAGCCAUACCGCGUGGGUGAAGAAGGCCUUCGGGUUGUAAAGCCCUUUUGUUGGGAAAGAAAUCCAUCUGGUUAAUACCCGGGUGGGAUGACGGUACCCAAAGAAUAAGCACCGGCUAACUUCGUGCCAGCCGCCGCCGUAA
rnacentral:rRNA from 1 species